UGCUGUGGAUAGGCGGCCGCUGCCGGUCCGGUUUGACCGGAAUCCGGUGGAGGAAAGUCCGAACACGACAGGACACGGUGGUGGAUAACGUCCACCGGCUCUCAAUCGUCGAGCCAGGGACAGUGCCACAGAAAGNAAACCGCCGNCGGUUCUUCGGAACNUCGGUAAGGGUGAAAGGGUGCGGUAAGAGCGCACCGCCCGGUCGGUGACGANCGGGGCAGGGUAAACCCCACCGCGUGCAAGCGCAAGCAGUCNUCNGUGNNCAGCAUGCUGGACACGUCCGUAGUCCGCGGGUGAGGACGGGUCGCGUGCUCGAGGCCAUCGGCAACGGUGGUCCCAGAUGAAUGAUCGCCGCCCCGGUACCUCGUCGAUGGCUGGGACCGGGGGACAGGAUUCGGCUUAUGUCCACGGACGAUU
rnacentral:RNase_P_RNA from 1 species